AUGAACGCUAGCUACAGGCUUAACACAUGCAAGUCGAGGGGCAGCAUGGUCUUAGCUUGCUAAGGCCGAUGGCGACCGGCGCACGGGUGAGUAACACGUAUCCAACCUGCCGUCUACUCUUGGACAGCCUUCUGAAAGGAAGAUUAAUACAAGAUGGCAUCAUGAGUCCGCAUGUUCACAUGAUUAAAGGUAUUCCGGUAGACGAUGGGGAUGCGUUCCAUUAGAUAGUAGGCGGGGUAACGGCCCACCUAGUCUUCGAUGGAUAGGGGUUCUGAGAGGAAGGUCCCCCACAUUGGAACUGAGACACGGUCCAAACUCCUACGGGAGGCAGCAGUGAGGAAUAUUGGUCAAUGGGCGAGAGCCUGAACCAGCCAAGUAGCGUGAAGGAUGACUGCCCUAUGGGUUGUAAACUUCUUUUAUAAAGGAAUAAAGUCGGGUAUGGAUACCCGUUUGCAUGUACUUUAUGAAUAAGGAUCGGCUAACUCCGUGCCAGCAGCCGCGGUAAUACGGAGGAUCCGAGCGUUAUCCGGAUUUAUUGGGUUUAAAGGGAGCGUAGAUGGAUGUUUAAGUCAGUUGUGAAAGUUUGCGGCUCAACCGUAAAAUUGCAGUUGAUACUGGAUAUCUUGAGUGCAGUUGAGGCAGGCGGAAUUCGUGGUGUAGCGGUGAAAUGCUUAGAUAUCACGAAGAACUCCGAUUGCGAAGGCAGCCUGCUAAGCUGCAACUGACAUUGAGGCUCGAAAGUGUGGGUAUCAAACAGGAUUAGAUACCCUGGUAGUCCACACGGUAAACGAUGAAUACUCGCUGUUUGCGAUAUACAGCAAGCGGCCAAGCGAAAGCGUUAAGUAUUCCACCUGGGGAGUACGCCGGCAACGGUGAAACUCAAAGGAAUUGACGGGGGCCCGCACAAGCGGAGGAACAUGUGGUUUAAUUCGAUGAUACGCGAGGAACCUUACCCGGGCUUAAAUUGCAGAUGAAUUACGGUGAAAGCCGUAAGCCGCAAGGCAUCUGUGAAGGUGCUGCAUGGUUGUCGUCAGCUCGUGCUGUGAGGUGUCGGCUUAAGUGCCAUAACGAGCGCAACCCUUGUUGUCAGUUACUAACAGGUUCCGCUGAGGACUCUGACAAGACUGCCAUCGUAAGAUGUGAGGAAGGUGGGGAUGACGUCAAAUCAGCACGGCCCUUACGUCCGGGGCUACACACGUGUUACAAUGGGGGGUACAGAGGGCCGCUACCACGCGAGUGGAUGCCAAUCCCCAAAACCUCUCUCAGUUCGGACUGGAGUCUGCAACCCGACUCCACGAAGCUGGAUUCGCUAGUAAUCGCGCAUCAGCCACGGCGCGGUGAAUACGUUCCCGGGCCUUGUACACACCGCCCGUCAAGCCAUGGGAGCCGGGGGUACCUGAAGUGCGUAACCGCGAGGAGCGCCCUAGGGUAAAACUGGUGACUGGGGCU
rnacentral:rRNA from 1 species